UGCAGUGGUAAAUAAAUCUUCUGGUUAAGAAGGACAUGGGAAGCUGUCCUAAUGUUUACAAUCAUGUACUCAAGAAGGGAAUUAAAUCACCAACAAGGCACUAACAUAAGACAAUGAUGAGGUUUGCUUUCUAUAUGGCACACAUGAAAAGUAGAAAGCACUCUCUGAGUCAAGAGAAAGAUAGAAAGAGGACUAUCAUUAGAUGCAACCCUAGGACUGGAUGUAGGAAGCACAUCUCAACAGUCUGCACUGGAUACUGAUGAACAUGUGAAUUGUGGCAGUGUCUGCUCCCAUGUCCAUUUCUGAUGGAAUGCUCUGACAUCCCUACCCUGGGGAGUAAGCGUCCAUUGAACUUAGUGAUGCCUAUCUUUGACUUUACAACACAUGACAUCAUCGCUCCUGCUCUGAAGACUCCCCAAAACUACAUUCCCUUGCAUCCCCCCUUCACUAUACCACUUUGGUGGUGUAGCUUUGGGAGUGGAGAGGCUAGGAUUGAGAAAUCGGAGGCUUCCUGAGGAUAUCAAGAAAACUGAGUGAAAACAGAAAAAAACC